CCGGAGAGCAUCUUCACUCACAUGUUUUUCUGUUCGAAGUUUUAUCAUCGGAGGAGCAAGUGUUUGUUUUUCAUGAACCGAAAAUGAAACGAGCACCAUUUCUCACGAGACGUUGGUAAAUUCGAGAAUGGAUUAAUCAAAAUAAUACAUAUUUGUCUAUAACACUACUGCAUAAGUAUUAUGUCGAUCUGUUGUUCUCAUAUGUAGGGGCGAUGGAUUUUAUUGUUGUUGCCAGUAUUAAAUAAGCCUUUACCAAGGGAGAAAAAAAAAAAAAAAGAUAUAUUUUUGGGAAAUGGGCAGCAAUGCAAUGGAUUCUAAAAAGAAAGAUGAGAAGAAAAAUUCAAGAAAAAAGAGAACGCUUCGGAUAAACAUGCCCGACUUGAGCUCCUUUGCAAUGCCGUUCCUGGAAGGAGAUGCUGAACACUCGAACAAGGACUGCAUACGCAAGGGAGAGCUUAACUGCCGCUCAGCCAGCCCAACCAAACAUUUCUUCAGCCGUGGUCCAUUUAGUCGGCCCUCUAGCCCCAUGUCCGCUCCGGCCCGUUCCAGAAACAGCCCUGGAUCUCCCAAAUCCAUCUUCCCCUACCCUUCCAAUCACGACUCCUCGCCAAAGAGUUCACGCCGCCGCAGUUUCACUGGAAUCUUCCGCUCGUCCUCCAAAGACUCCACAAAUCCCUCGACCUCUCCUGUCAGCAUCAAACUCUUCUCUCGUGCUAAAAAAGCCUCUGGGAUUAGCACAUCACCCACUACUCCAACACAACUGACCAAGCAGACUCCAGCAUUUCUUCUAGAAGUCAGUCGAAAUGACACUGUGCAUCGUUCCUCCUCCUCCACCCUCGACACUGGACAGCACCACAGCCUACCUACUGCCAAACCGCCUCCCAGUCCCUGCUCAGCACCUAUAUCUACCUCACAUGUGGUUCACGGUAUAUCUGAAGACAUGCUGGAGAAACUCGAUCUCGAGGAUGAAGCUGUCGAACAAUCCGAGAGUGACAUUUACAUGCGGUUCAUGAAGUCACAUAAGUGCUAUGACAUUGUCCCUACCAGCUCCAAGCUUGUGGUCUUUGACACAACGCUGCAGGUAUUGACAAUGUUUGAAAGGACCGGCCUUCCCAAAUCCUCAUUAGAGGUUAAAAAGGCCUUUUUUGCCCUGGUAGCCAAUGGGGUUCGAGCCGCCCCUCUGUGGGAGACCAAGAAACAGAGUUUUGUGGGCAUGCUAACCAUCACAGACUUCAUCAACAUACUUCACAGAUACUACAAAUCACCCAUGGUACAAAUUUACGAGCUUGAGGAGCAUAAAAUUGAAACUUGGAGAGAGCUCUAUCUACAAGAAACAUUUAAGCCUUUAGUGAACAUAUCUCCAGAUGCAAGCAUAUUUGAUGCUGUGUAUUCACUGAUCAAAAACAAGAUCCACAGGUUGCCCGUCAUCGACCCAGUUAGUGGAAAUGCACUUUAUAUUUUGACGCACAAGAGGAUCCUGAAAUUCCUUCAGCUGUUUGUGUGCGAGAUGCCAAAGCCCGCCUUUAUGAAGCAGACUCUGGAGGAGCUGAGCAUUGGGACCUACAACAACAUCGCAUUCAUUCACCCCGAUACACCUAUCAUCACAGCACUAAGCAUCUUUGUGAAAAGGCGGGUGUCAGCGUUGCCCGUGGUGGACGAGUCGGGAAAAGUUGUAGAUAUUUAUUCCAAAUUUGAUGUCAUUAAUCUUGCUGCUGAAAAGACAUACAAUAACCUGGAUGUUAGCGUGACACAGGCGCUGAUGCACAGGUCACAGUAUUUUGAAGGAGUCAUGAAGUGUAACAGAUUUGAGACACUGGAGACGAUAUUAGAUCGGAUAGUCAAGGCUGAGGUACACAGGCUGGUGGUGGUGGAUGAGAACGGCAGCAUUGUGGGCAUUGUCUCUCUGUCGGACAUCCUCCAGGCACUUGUUCUCAACCCCGCAGGUAUAAAUGCUCAGCAUUCCUAAAACUCAUUUCCUGCAGGACCCUCAUCCUACCACCCCCUCCCACCUGAGCCACAGGUACUGGUGAUGGGGUCAUGGAAACUGUGCAUGACCUUCUGCCUGACUACUAGUAAAUGUGUUUUUGAGGAUGCUAAUCUACUAAUGCCUUCUGUUUCCACCACAGAUUCAGACAUCUGACACAAAUAUCUUGGAUUUAAUUGUUUUGAUUCUAAUGGGUAUGACCAGAAAGGACAGCGAAGCAGAGACUGAGUGACAUGAAUGGAGAUUGUUAGGUCAUGUGACAUUACUUUCAGAGACUGGAGAAGGGCUGAAUAGAGACGCUGAAGCCUUUGGAGAAGUGUGGACCCCAUCAAAAGAUGAAAGAAUGAAACCAAGGACCAUGGGCCUGUCCUAUAAUAUGCUGUUGAUGGGCAAGAGGUUUCUUGGGUGGACUGACCAGUUGAUGAGCCUAUUAUCUGAUAAAUGGAUGGACGUAGUGGCCGUAAAGGGCGAUCUGGUGGAUUAUCUCUUAUACAGAAGGAUACUGUGAACUCUGAAUCUUAUAUCACACUAAAGCUUCUGCACGUACCCUAUGAUAAACCAUACUUUUAGCUAGACCUAAAACUGCGCUAUCUGGUGUUUGAACAGUGGUCUGCAGAUAGAUGAUGGGCUGUACCAUAAUCGCCUCUUUAGGGAGGGUGGUUGUGCAUUGCAGGGCAUUCAGUAAGAAUCUCAGUAUUCAAGUGCAUGUAAAGACUGUUUUUUUCCUGAUGUAUAUAGAACUUUCAGACUAGGCUUAUGUGCCCAGCUCACAUAUUUGUAUUUUUGACUACUGCUGAAUUUAGGGACUGCUCAUUAUCUGCUUUAGUACAAAUAUCCCCCCAACCAGACACAAGUAGUUUUCGCUCUGUCUUUCUAUGGUGCCUUCUGUCCACCAGUUUUCGCCCACUAUUGGUUGCCAAUCGAACAAGAAUAAUUGAAUGUUAAAAUAUAUCAAAGCGAAUGUUGUUUAAAACCAAAAUCUUUUUUCUUUCACAAAUUCUAUUUAUUACAGAGCUCUUAUUUUCUUCACUUGGAUAUAUGGUUAGGUGUUGAUGUUUCUGAAAUGAUGCUGUAAAAGAUUGAGAUGUUUUUUUUAUUUAUAUUUAACACUUUGUCAUUUUGAAAGUGUGAGAUGGAAAGAACUUUGAAGCCCCUAUGCAGUAAAACCAAUGUGUUGAUCAGUGACUUGAUGUUCAAUGCAAUUCAACCUUAAAAUCCCACAUUUCUUUUGUCCAUGAGGCAACAGACCUCUUGUACUUUGUAUCGAUUGUACUGUACAAGCACGCUGAGCUUCUAUUCAAGAAGACUGUAAGUGCCAGAGAAAGGUCUAUUUUUCUGUGUAUUCAGUCAUUGUUUGUAAUAUUUCACAUUUUUGUUUUGGUUCUCGUCAUUUUGCUGAUAUGUUAUUGAUACUGUCAUCAUGAGAGAGUGAUGUCCAUAGAUAAAUGCACAUAACUGGCAUGAGAAUGCUAAUGGAUAAUCAGGCUUUAGAUUCCUUUUUUUUUUUUUUAUUUUACAGUUAAAUAAAAAAUAAUAAAUCUAGUCUCUGAAACUAUUUUUGUAUUUCAGUGCUUGGCAAAUAAGUAAAAAGGUGACCAGCCAGUAGAUUCAGAACCCAAAUGGCAUGCCAGCGAGGUGUAUUCCAAGUAGAAUCUCAUUCAAAAUUAAUGUAUUUAUUUGGUUUCAUGUACAGUUUUUAUAUAAGCCUACAUAUACAUAUACUAUAUAUAUAUAUAUAUAUAUAUAUAUAUACAGUAUAUAUACAUACACACACACACACUAGUACU